UAACCACUCAAGCUCUCGCUUGGUAUUGGGGUUCGCGGUUCCGCGGCCCCUAAAAUCAGUGGCGGUGCCUGUCGGCUCUACGCGUAGUAAUACUCCUCGCGAUUGAGUCCGGUAGGUCUACUUGCCAGCAACCCCCAAUUUUUACA
rnacentral:misc_RNA from 2 species